CAGCAGCCGCGGUAAUACGGAGGGUGCAAGCGUUAAUCGGAAUUACUGGGCGUAAAGCGUGCGUAGGCGGUCCGUUAAGUCUGUUGUGAAAGCCCCGGGCUCAACCUGGGAAUGGCAAUGGAUACUGGCGAGCUAGAGUGUGUCAGAGGAUGGUGGAAUUCCCGGUGUAGCGGUGAAAUGCGUAGAGAUCGGGAGGAACAUCAGUGGCGAAGGCGGCCAUCUGGGACAACACUGACGCUGAGGCACGAAAGCGUGGGGAGCAAACAGGAUUAGAUACCCGCGUAGUCCCUGUCUCUUAUAA
rnacentral:rRNA from 1 species